rnacentral:lncRNA from 1 species
CCCUUUGGUAUUUUUAAUAAAGAAAAGAGCCCUUUUUGCUCUGAAUUUACAACAAAAACCAAUUAUAUACUGUAUCAUUUUUUAACGAAAUGACUUGAAAGGCAUAAUAAAAAGAAGAGAGGAUAAAAUUAGAAAGAGAUUUUCCUCUUCAAAUUGAAUGGCAUUUACACAUCCUUUUCUAGAUUCUAGAAAGCUCUAGACAAAGAUCGUAAAGUAUAUGUCUCUCCAUCUACUAUCUUGUGGCUGAAUAAUUUUAGGUUCAAUUUAUAGUGGUUCUUGAAAUUUUGUUCCCAUAAUUGAACUCAGCCUUGUGACUUUUGA